GAUGGCCCAGAUUCAUGUGGAGCGAACUGGGCGCACAAUUUACAAAAAGCUCCAUCGCUGCUGGUUCAUUUGUUACCGAUCUCCUUUUCUCGCCUAAACAGAGUACCCAUAUGCAGUAGCAGGCUAGCAGACCUAAAUCCUCCCCACAGCGGCGGCAGCGGCGGCGGCGACAGGCCAGAUCCGUCAACUAAGUUGGGCGAGUAUGCACAGAUGAGGUGAUAUUCUAUCUCUCCGACGGCUCCUGCCCGAUGUGUCGCCGGCAACCCAGUUUGAAGCCGACCAGAUCGGAGCUCGCGGAGUACUAAGAUCGGCGCCGCUGUGUGCUUGUUGCAGCCUCCCAUGUCAGGCUCCGGCAACGUCUGGUUCGUCGCCUCCUCUCUAUCUCAGGAGAUCGGAGCUCGCGUUCUCCUCCACCUCGUCGGCUGUAAGCCCGUGGUCGACUCCUCGGCUCCUUCACGACCGGACCGUGUGGCGUGGUGCGAACCUACAAGGCGUCACCACCUCAGGUCAAUGAUGGACCAGCAUCCAGGAGGAGAAAACGACUGCAGGGACUGGAUUCAUGCAAAAAACUCAUAUGCCUUGACAAGAGAUGUGGUGGGCUAUUCAAGACAAAGCCUAUGAACUCUACCUGGAGAACGUAAGGAAGUUUGGCAUCCAAUGGUGAAAGGCCCUCGUGGUGAAAGCCCUGAAAAAGGACACACACAUCCCAGAAAUGGUCAGGCAGAGGUACAAGGGUAAAGCUGUGGCAGAUGAUAGCUCGGACACAUCAAGCAGCGACAGCGACGGUGACUUUGCUGACCGGCAUGAGAUGCUCGCUUGCCGGCGUCAGAUUGCCGAGUUACGAGUGAAAACCCUAGAUGGAAAUCAGGUCAAUGACGUUGGAAGACAAGUGCCAGUCAGAAUUGGAGAUGGCGUUGAGAAUGGGAACAAUGCUGGUUUGUGGAUUGAUACAUUCAUGGUUUUCAGUUACCUGUAGUUUAUAACAAAACGUAUUCAAAUGAUGUUUGCCCCGUGGAUCCUAGUUGCUGCAAGAUUAGACGUUUUAGAUUUGUGAAACUCUGCCUGGAAGGUAUUCCAAGAUUCAUCUGAGCCGCGGCGGACUGCAAACAUGGCCCUUGUAUAUAUGUUGCUUGCAUGCCGCUCAAUCGCUAGGUACGAUCUCUUCUGCCACAAGAAGCUCGAUGAGCAAUAAGCACUGGGAUCCCAUAAGCACUAGUAACGGAGGCAAAGGCUAUAACUUUUGUGUUGUAUACCAUCAAGUAGCAAAAGUUGAUGCUGUUUGGCAAUGCUUGUUGAACAAUGAUUAUUUUAGUCCAUAUUUAGCCUGGCAUCUGAUGUACCAAAAAUGAUCCUCUCAAGCUAUGUAGCACUUGAUAUGUACAUGUAUGUUCUGCUGCGUUCGGUCUGGGAUCGUGCAGUUUGAAAUGUACGUAUGUUCGGUUAUGAUUUGAAGUGGAUGGAUUAAUGUUUCGUGUAC